GAAUUCCUUGACGUCUGGAUCACUUCCCGCCGCGGCCCGGGCUCCAGGUUGGGUUUCAGAGCCCCGAGAAGAGGAACGCGAGGCUGCAGAGGCUGAACCGGGCGUUCUUUCCCUGUCGGGGGCGAGCCCGUGGGGUGGCGGGAUCUCAUUCUGGUCCUUUUCGGGACAUAAAGGAUCUCCAGCUCAAUCUCAGCUCGAAGUUUGUUUUUCCUUUUCUUUUUUGUUUCAUCUCACAUCUCCCUGAAAGCAGUGGCCCUGCCCCCGCAGGCCUCGCUGUGUCUGCCCCCCCCUCCAGUCGGAGUCAGGGGGAAGCAUGGGUGGGGCGGGGGUUUGGGGGGAGAAGCUGUGCAGGCGAGGAAGCCCCCCCCCUUCCACUCCUGGUGCAAGGCCGGGCCCCUGACGCCUGCUGUGCGGUGGGUGCGGAAGGCUGUCCCUUACAUCGAUUUCCUAGGGCCGCCAUAACCAAGUACCACAAGCGAGGUGACUCAAACCAACAGAAACUCCUUUCACAAGUCUGGGAGCCGGAACUCCAGAAUCACGGUUUGGGUGGAGCCACAGUCGCUGCCUCUGACGUCUCUCAGGAUGCGUCCCUCCUUGCGUCUGCCUGGUGACUCCAGGCGUUCCUUGGCUGGAGGACGCCAGUCGCAGCACACACGACUCCAGCCUGGCCUCGUCUGAACUAAUGACAGAGAGGAGGAGAAACACCAUCACGGUCUCUACACCUGCUGGUCUGCUUGAAAGGAUGGCUUUCUCUGCUCCGUUUCCGCUGAAUCACCUGAACGGGGAGCGGGGGUCACAGGUUCCUGCAGAUUGGAGCAUUACUGCCAGGAUACCCACCACCUCCUCUGAGAACAUGGGAGAACCCACUGCCGUCGGUUUGGGAGAUGCAGGCCGUCUCACCGGACAAGACAAGUCUCACCUCGUGUCCUGGAAGACCAAUGCCAUAGCUGGUCCCUAGUGAGCACCCAGUAAAUGGCAGUCUGGGAAGCCCGAAUCCCAGCACCGGCACCCGCAACGCUCGGCCGCUUCCUCUCCGGCUACGUCAGCAGCUCGAGGCUUCAGGAAACUCUGCGCUCCUCCCAAGCAUGCUCUGCUGGGUGCAAGCACCGAGUCCCUCCUCUCUCCGGGGCACUGUGCCGCUGCCUCCCGGGGCCCUGAAUCUGGAGGGAUGGGGAUCGGGGCAGGUGUGAGUGACACAGGCAACGACGACCUCCUCAUGCAAUUGUGUCCUCCAAGGGGGCUUCUCCGAUUGCUUAAUCUCGAGGAGCACAGCCCUGCCCAGACGCUCUCUGCCCCCCUGCCCUUCCUAAGAGCGCUGCAAAGCAGUUCUCCCCACCUGAAGUCGUAGUAAAUUACAGUUUGUGUGUUUCCCUCUCUGGGGAGCUGGGCCCUGUCUGUGUUUCCUGCAACAUCCAGGAUUUACAGCAGAGCCCGGCAUGUGGUGGGUGCAGUGGGCUGAGCCGUGGCCCCUAAGAGACGCGUGCACCGGAACCUGUGCCUGGACUUAUCUGGGGAAAAGGUCUUUGCAGAUAUAACUAAGGAUCUUGGAAUGAGAUCAUCCUGAUUAGGGUGAGCCCUAAAACCAAUGACAAGUACCCUUACAAGAGAAGAGCAGGGAGAAGACACAGACAAGGAGCCCACAGGAAGACAGAGGCAGUGUGGAGGGAUGCAGCCACAAGCCAAGCAAGGCCUGGAGCCACGGAGGCUGGGAGAACUAGGGGAGAAAUGUCGAGAUCCUUGGGAAGGAACACAGCCCUGUCAACACCUGGCAUUUGGCCUUUGUGCCUGCAGAACUGCACAAGAAUAAAGUUCUGUUAUUUUAAGCGA